CCUUAAAAUUAAAAAAAAUACGGGGUCAUUUUUAGAUUUGUUAUUUCUAAACAUGAUGUCUGUUGUUUAAUUCUCGACGGAGUGGUGGAGAAAUGAGCGCGUGAGUUCAAUUGGUUCCUGGGAUAUGAGCAAAAAUGUAGCGCAUGAUUGAAGCGAUAGUCGAUAGCAAAUCUUGUACCUAAAAAGGUAGGAAAAGUGGUGCACAAAAAUAACGCUUAUUUUUUGCGCACUACUGCUACACUCUAUAGGUGAAAAAUAAAUCAAUAUGAGAUGAAGACGUUUACCUUUCUAUGCCUUCAUGAAGUAAAAAUGUAACCAGACCAAACGCUGCAGGAGCUUUGUGCAACAUUAUUGCAAGAAAUACAAUGAUUUCCACAUCAGCAUGACUAGUCGUGGCUGCAGCACCUAAGAAUAAAAAAAUCAAAAUUUUGAAUAAAUGGAAAUUAACUGAACCAAAAGUCCAAUUAAUUAAUCAAAAUAUUUGGAGUAAUUGGGUUUAAGACAAAUCAAAGCCAUUACAAGUGGCAAUAGAUGCGAGAUCAGCAAAACGACUUGUUUCGGAUUAAUUCUCUCCGAACUCGAAACUAGAAUCCAUUCUUGCAACAUUACGUAAUGAAAAACAACGUUUCAUGUUGUAAGCAUUUCGAUGCAAUGUUGAUCCAACUGAAAAUGAAUCAACGAAGUGCGCUAGGCUGAAAUCGGUCAAAACUGUUGAUCCUCGCACCGGAAAACCGACAUAACAAUGGAAUUACAUUAUGGCAUUUUUACGGUUAAUAAACAGAAUUUAUACUGCUAUUGAGCAAAUCUAUUGCGGUUACUUAAUACUCAAAUAUUUCCUAGGUUUUCUUACAUUUUAACCCAUGGGUCAUUGAAAUAUUACUUACUAAUUAUAGGUACUUUUGUAUCGCCUAUAUCGGUGUUUUAACGGAACAAUACAAAACCAUGACUCAAAUUGUUACAUAUCUAAUGAUAGUAAAAUUAAACCCCACUGGUUAGUAA